CCGGCCGGACCGGAAGGAUUGACAGAUUGAUAGCUCUUUCUCGAUUCCGUGGGUGGUGGUGCAUGGCCGUUCUUAGUUGGUGGAGCGAUUUGUCUGGUUAAUUCCGAUAACGAACGAGACUCUGGCAUGCUAACUAGUUACGCGACCCCCGAGCGGUCGGCGUCCCCCAACUUCUUAGAGGGACAAGUGGCGUUCAGCCACCCGAGAUUGAGCAAUAACAGGUCUGUGAUGCCCUUAGAUGUCCGGGGCUGCACGCGCGCUACACUGACUGGCUCAGCGUGUGCCUACCCUACGCCGGCAGGCGCGGGUAACCCGUUGAACCCCAUUCGUGAUGGGGAUCGGGGAUUGCAAUUAUUCCCCAUGAACGAGGAAUUCCCAGUAAGUGCGGGUCAUAAGCUUGCGUUGAUUAAGUCCCUGCCCUUUGUACACACCGCCCGUCGCUACUACCGAUUGGAUGGUUUAGUGAGGCCCUCGGAUCGGCCCCGCCGGGGUCGGCCCACGGCCCUGGCGGAGCGCUGAGAAGACGGUCGAACUUGACUAUCUAGAGGAAGUAAAAGUCGUAACAAGGUUUCCGUAGGA
rnacentral:rRNA from 1 species